rnacentral:rRNA from 1 species
AUUGAACGCUGGCGGCAGGCCUAACACAUGCAAGUCGAGCGGAUGACGGGAGCUUGCUCCUUGAUUCAGCGGCGGACGGGUGAGUAAUGCCUAGGAAUCUGCCUGGUAGUGGGGGACAACGUUUCGAAAGGAACGCUAAUACCGCAUACGUCCUACGGGAGAGAGCAGGGGACCUUCGGGCCUUGCGCUAUCAGAUGAGCCUAGGUCGGAUUAGCUAGUUGGUGGGGUAAUGGCUCACCAAGGCGACGAUCCGUAACUGGUCUGAGAGGAUGAUCAGUCACACUGGAACUGAGACACGGUCCAGACUCCUACGGGGGGCAGCAGUGGGGAAGAUUGGAAAAUGGGCGAAAGCCUGAUCCAGCCAUGCCGCGUGUGUGAAGAAGGUCUUCGGGUCGUAAAGCACUUUAAGUUGGGAGGAAGGGCUCAUAGCGAAUACCUGUGAGUUUUGACGUUACCAACAGAAUAAGCACCGGCUAACUUCGUGCCAGCCGCCGCAGUAA